rnacentral:rRNA from 1 species
AGCGCAAGCGGGAUGAGCUCAAAUUUAUAAUCUGGCACCUUCGGUGUCCGAGUUGUAAUCUCUAGAAAUGUUUUCCGCGUUGGACCGCACACAAGUCUGUUGGAAUACAGCGGCAUAGUGGUGAGACCCCCGUAUAUGGUGCGGACGCCCAGCGCUUUGUGAUACAUUUUCGAAGAGUCGAGUUGUUUGGGAAUGCAGCUCAAAUUGGGUGGUAAAUUCCAUCUAAAGCUAAAUAUUGGCGAGAGACCGAUAGCGAACAAGUACCGUGAGGGAAAGAUGAAAAGCACUUUGGAAAGAGAGUUAACAGUACGUGAAAUUGUUGGAAGGGAAACGCUUGAAGUCAGACUUGCUUGCCGAGCAAUCGGUUUGCAGGCCAGCAUCAGUUUUCCGGGAUGGAUAAUGGUAGAGAGAAGGUAGCAGUUUCGGCUGUGUUAUAGCUCUCUGCUGGAUACAUCUUGGGGGACUGAGGAACGCAGUGUGCCUUUGGCGGGGGUUUCGACCUCU